AUGCUCACAUUGGCAGCACAAAUACUAACGUGGGUACAGAUACUGAGAGGAUUUGGCAUGGCCCCCUGUGCAAGGAAGACAUGAAAAUUUGUAAAGUGUUCCAAAUUAGA
ensembl:snRNA U6 U6 spliceosomal RNA